rnacentral:rRNA from 1 species
AACGAACGCUGGCGGCAGGCCUAACACAUGCAAGUCGAGCGAGACCUUCGGGUCUAGCGGCGGACGGGUGAGUAACGAGUGGGAACGUGCCCUUUUCUGCGAUACAGCCUCGGGUAACUGAGCGUAAUAACGCAUACGCUCUUACGGGGUAAGAUUGAUCGGAAAAGGAUCGGCCCGCGUUAGAUUAGGUGGUUGGUGGGGUACUGGCGUACCAAGACUACGUUCCAUAGCUGGUUGGAGAAGAGGACCAGCCACACUUGCACUGAGACACGGCCGAGACUCCGACGGGAGGGAGCAGUGGAGAAUAUUAGACAAGGGAGGCAACCGUAGUCUAGCCAUGCCGCGGGAGAGAGGAAGGCCGUAGGAUUGUAAAUCCCGCUGAGCUGAAAAGAUAAUGACGGUACCUGCAGAAGAAGCCCCGGCUAACUCCGUG